rnacentral:rRNA from 1 species
GGAUGACUUGUGGCUGGGGGUGAAAGGCCAAUCAAACCGGGAGAUAGCUGGUUCUCCCCGAAAGCUAUUUAGGUAGCGCCUCGUGAAUUCAUCUCCGGGGGUAGAGCACUGUUUCGGCAAGGGGGUCAUCCCGACUUACCAACCCGAUGCAAACUGCGAAUACCGGAGAAUGUUAUCACGGGAGACACACGGCGGGUGCUAACGUCCGUCGUGAAGAGGGAAACAACCCAGACCGCCAGCUAAGGUCCCAAAGUCAUGGUUAAGUGGGAAACGAUGUGGGAAGGCCCAGACAGCCAGGAUGUUGGCUUAGAAGCAGCCAUCAUUUAAAGAAAGCGUAAUAGCUCACUGGUCGAGUCGGCCUGCGCGGAAGAUGUAACGGGGCUAAACCAUGCACCGAAGCUGCGGCAGCGACACUAUGUGUUGUUGGGUAGGGGAGCGUUCUGUAAGCCUGUGAAGGUGGCCUGUGAGGGUUGCUGGAGGUAUCAGAAGUGCGAAUGCUGACAUAAGUAACGAUAAAGCGGGUGAAAAGCCCGCUCGCCGGAAGACCAAGGGUUCCUGUCCAACGUUAAUCGGGGCAGGGUGAGUCGACCCCUAAGGCGAGGCCGAAAGGCGUAGUCGAUGGGAAACAGGUUAAUAUUCCUGUACUUGGUGUUACUGCGAAGGGGGGACGGAGAAGGCUAUGUUGGCCGGGCGACGGUUGUCCCGGUUUAAGCGUGUAGGCUGGUUUUCCAGGCAAAUCCGGAAAAUCAAGGCUGAGGCGUGAUGACGAGGCACUACGGUGCUGAAGCGACAAAUGCCCUGCUUCCAGGAAAAGCCUCUAAGCAUCAGGUAACAUCAAAUCGUACCCCAAACCGACACAGGUGGUCAGGUAGAGAAUACCAAGGCGCUUGAGAGAACUCGGGUGAAGGAACUAGGCAAAAUGGUGCCGUAACUUCGGGAGAAGGCACGCUGAUAUGUAGGUGAAGCGACUUGCUCGUGGAGCUGAAAUCAGUCGAAGAUACCAGCUGGCUGCAACUGUUUAUUAAAAACACAGCACUGUGCAAACACGAAAGUGGACGUAUACGGUGUGACGCCUGCCCGGUGCCGGAAGGUUAAUUGAUGGGGUUAGCGGUAACGCGAAGCUCUUGAUCGAAGCCCCGGUAAACGGCGGCCGUAACUAUAACGGUCCUAAGGUAGCGAAAUUCCUUGUCGGGUAAGUUCCGACCUGCACGAAUGGCGUAAUGAUGGCCAGGCUGUCUCCACCCGAGACUCAGUGAAAUUGAACUCGCUGUGAAGAUGCAGUGUACCCGCGGCAAGACGGAAAGACCCCGUGAACCUUUACUAUAGCUUGACACUGAACAUUGAGCCUUGAUGUGUAGGAUAGGUGGGAGGCUUUGAAGUGUGGACGCCAGUCUGCAUGGAGCCGACCUUGAAAUACCACCCUUUAAUGUUUGAUGUUCUAACGUGGGCCCCUUACCGGGGUUGCGGACAGUGUCUGGUGGGUAGUUUGACUGGGGCGGUCUCCUCCUAAAGAGUAACGGAGGAGCACGAAGGUUGGCUAAUCCUGGUCGGACAUCAGGAGGUUAGUGCAAUGGCAUAAGCCAGCUUGACUGCGAGCGUGACGGCGCGAGCAGGUGCGAAAGCAGGUCAUAGUGAUCCGGUGGUUCUGAAUGGAAGGGCCAUCGCUCAACGGAUAAAAGGUACUCCGGGGAUAACAGGCUGAUACCGCCCAAGAGUUCAUAUCGACGGCGGUGUUUGGCACCUCGAUGUCGGCUCAUCACAUCCUGGGGCUGAAGUAGGUCCCAAGGGUAUGGCUGUUCGCCAUUUAAAGUGGUACGCGAGCUGGGUUUAGAACGUCGUGAGACAGUUCGGUCCCUAUCUGCCGUGGGCGCUGGAGAACUGAGGGGGGCUGCUCCUAGUACGAGAGGACCGGAGUGGACGCAUCACUGGUGUUCGGGUUGUCAUGCCAAUGGCACUGCCCGGUAGCUAAAUGCGGAAGAGAUAAGUGCUGAAAGCAUCUAAGCACGAAACUUGCCCCGAGAUGAGUUCUCCCUGACUCCUUGAGAGUCCUGAAGGAACGUUGAAGACGACGACGUUGAUAGGCCGGGUGUGUAAGCGCAGCGAUGCGUUGAGCUAACCGGUACUAAUGAACCGUGAGGCUUAACCUU